rnacentral:rRNA from 1 species
CGUAACGCGUAUGCAAUCUACCUCUAACUGAAGAAUAGCCCAGGGAAACUUGGAUUAAUACUUCAUAAAAUCACAUUAUCUCAUGAUAAAAUGAUUAAAGCUUUGGCGGUUAGAGAUGAGCAUGCGUCCCAUUAGCUUGUUGGUGAGGUAACGGCUCACCAAGGCUACGAUGGGUAGGGGGUCUGAGAGGAUUAUCCCCCACACUGGUACUGAGACACGGACCAG